rnacentral:rRNA from 1 species
AUGACGAAGCCGAAGAGAGGAGGCGGUAUUGGAUUCAGAGAUAUGCACAUGUUCAACCAAGCUUUGUUGGCAAGGCAGGGAUGGAGAUUGAUUCAAAAACCAGAGAGUCUGUGUGCGAGAGUGCUCAAAUCCAAGUAUUACCCCAACGGAGAAUUGAUGGAUACAGUGUUCGCAUCGGACGCCUCGCAAUCAUGGAGAGGAAUCGAAUUCGGCCUGGAGCUACUAAAGAAAGGGCUUAUAUGA